AACGCACAUUGCGCCCCUUGGUAUUCCGAGGGGCAUGCCUGUCCGAGCGUCAUUUCAACCAUCAAGCUUGCUUGGUAUUGGGCCCUUCGUCUCCCCGACGAGCCUGAAACUCAGUGGCGGUUCCUCGUGGAUUCCAGCGUCGUGAAUAAAUCUCGCUGUGGAAAUCUUAGAGUCGUGACCAGCCAGAUCAUCCAUAUCUUCUCGGUUGACCUCGGAUCAGGUAGGGAUACCCGCUGAACUUAA
rnacentral:misc_RNA from 1 species